rnacentral:rRNA from 1 species
ACGGAGGGUGCAAGCGUUAAUCGGAAUUACUGGGCGUAAAGCGCACGCAGGCAGUUGGAUAAGUUAGAUGUGAAAGCCCCGGGCUCAACCUGGGAAUUGCAUUUAAAACUGUCCAGCUAGAGUCUUGUAGAGGGGGGUAGAAUUCCAGGUGUAGCGGUGAAAUGCGUAGAUAUCUGGAGGAACACCGGUGGCGAAGGCGGCAUCCUGGACCAAUAUUGACGCUGAGGAGCGAAAGCCAGGGGAGCAAACGGGA